CGGGUGAGUAACGCGUGAGUAACCUGCCCUAGAGAGGGGACAACAGUUGGAAACGACUGCUAAUACCGCAUAAGCCCACGGCUCGGCAUCGAGCAGAGGGAAAAGGAGCAAUCCGCUUUGAGAUGGCCUCGCGUCCGAUUAGCUAGUUGGUGAGGUAACGGCCCACCAAGGCAACGAUCGGUAGCCGGACUGAGAGGUUGAACGGCCACAUUGGGACUGAGACACGGCCCAG
rnacentral:rRNA from 1 species